UACGUAGGGGGCAAGCGUUGUCCGGAUUUAUUGGGCGUAAAGAGCGUGUAGGCGGUCAGGUAGGUCCGUUGUGAAAACUCGAGGCUCAACCUCGAGACGCCGAUGGAAACCAUCUGACUAGAGUCCGGAAGAGGAGAGUGGAAUUCCUGGUGUAGCGGUGAAAUGCGCAGAUAUCAGGAAGAACACCCGUGGCUAAGGCGGCUCUCUAGUACGGUACUGACGCUGAGACGCGAGAGCGUGGGGAGCGAACAGG
rnacentral:rRNA from 1 species